UGGAAGUUUGAAGCGGGUUGUGUUUCUCAUCAUUCUAACUGAAACAAGUUGAAGAGAGGCAAAGGACGCUAUUGUGUGGUGCAUGGAAGCAACAGUACUAGUUUCUCUAUUGACGAAGUUUUGUUUCAUUUCUUUCGGGUAAAAAAUAGAAAUUGAGAAGACAGUGGAUCAAUUUUGUUUGCGUGCCGUAAAGAUUUUGAUCUGCCGUCGAAGACGAUGCGGAUAUGUGAGAAACAAUUUGAGAUUCGCGCUACCUGAUAUAGUAACGACAAUUGAAAACAUUGAAAAAGAAGAAGAAAUGUAAAAUUUUGCUGACAGAGAUAGUUACGACCACUCGCCUGCAUACCAAGAUAUUCAUCAUACAGAGGCACAAGAUACUAGUAACAAGAGGGUCCCAGCUGAAGGGAAUGAAGGUCCAAUAUCAUUUGCUGUUCAGUCUAAGCCUAAACUUCAAUGUAAAGGUUUUGUCCACUGACUGCUGACCGUUGAAGAAAAUUAAGUGAUAUACCUCUGGUGGGAAUAGCCCCACCCCCUUUGACAGCACAGUACAGGAGAUCACAAUUUUGUGAGACUGUCUCGAUUUAACAAGAGAAGGGCAGCUCUUUUGCAAGCCAUGAAAAUUUCUAUGUAUAUUUGACUUAGAACCAAAAUGUUAUAGGGUCCACAGAGGCACCAAAUGGAGAGAUUAUAUUCAUAAUUAAUUUUGACACCCUUCAAUAUAUGAAAGCAAAACAUGAAAACAUUUCACAUGAGAUGAAUAUUUAAUAUGCAUUUGUACCAUGUGAAACUUCAAGCCUUAAUUCACAUGUCAUGAAGUCUUAAAUAUUGUGCAAUAAACUUGCAAAUGAAAUGUGUAUAAUAAAGUGAACUGUGAGAUAAUCAUAUAAAUUCAAUUUGAACUUCUUUUAUCUUAAGCUUAUCCCAUAAUAGUAGUGUGGAAAAAUAAAACUGACUUAAUAUAAUGGAAAAGCUGGACAAGAUUUUACUAUGAAGAUUUCUAUCUGACACUUGUGAUAAAUGUGCAUAUACAGUAUAUAUUUUUAUUCUUUGAUGAUUAACCAUUUCUUUAUACAAGAUCAACUCUACGUCACUUCAGUCCUCGUGCACGUUAAUGGAAUAGAAGUAAAUCCAAGUUGGGCAAUUUUAACUCUGUGUGAUGUCCACUUGAUGUAAGCAUGUUUCUAAUCUUAAUCAAUGCACAAGCAGGUAGGGGGACCCUGCAUUCUUUU